UACGUAGGGGGCAAGCGUUGUUCGGAAUUACUGGGCGUCAAGGGCGCGUAGGCGGCACGGCAAGUCGGGAGUGAAAGGCCUGGGCUCAACCGAGGAACUGCUUUCGAGACUGCCGAGCUAGAGUGCGGAAGGGGCAACCGGAAUUCCUGGUGUAGCGGUGAAAUGCGCAGAUAUCAGGAAGAACACCAAUGGCGAAAGCAGCUCUCUGGGACGGUACUGACGCUGAGACGCGAAAGCGUGGGGAGCGAACAGG
rnacentral:rRNA from 1 species